rnacentral:rRNA from 1 species
GACGAACGCUGGCGGCGUGCUUAACACAUGCAAGUCGAACGGAAAGGCCCUGCUUUUGUGGGGUGCUCGAGUGGCGAACGGGUGAGUAACACGUGAGUAACCUGCCCUUGACUUUGGGAUAACUUCAGGAAACUGGGGCUAAUACCGGAUAGGAGCUCCUGCUGCAUGGUGGGGGUUGGAAAGUUUCGGCGGUUGGGGACGGACUCGCGGCUUAUCAGCCUGUUGGUGGGGUAGUGGCUUACCAAGGCUUUGACGGGUAGCCGGCCUGAGAGGGUGACCGGCCACAUUGGGACUGAGAUACGGCCCAGACUGCUACGGGAGGCAGCAGUGGGGAAUAUUGCAUAAUGGGCGGAAGCCUGAUGCAGCAACGCCGCGUGCGGGAUGACGGCCUUCGGGUUGUAAACCGCUUUCGCCUGUGACGAAGCGUGAGUGACGGUAAUGGGUAAAGAAGCACCGGCUAACUACGUG